CACCUACUCCCUCCGUCCUAAAAUUCUUGUUUUGAAUUUAUCUAGAUAUGAAUGUAUCUAGUCAUGUUUUAGUAUUUUGAUACAUUUAUUUAUAAACAAACCUAAGACAAAAUAUUUGAGACAGAGGGAGUACUUU
rfam:Hordeum vulgare subsp. vulgare, WGS project CAJW01000000 data, contig: morex_contig_1583941